rnacentral:rRNA from 1 species
GAUGAACGCUGGCGGCGUGCCUAAUACAUGCAAGUCGAGCGGACAGACGAGGAGCUUGCUCCUCUGACGUUAGCGGCGGACGGGUGAGUAACACGUGGAUAACCUACCUAUAAGACUGGGAUAACUUCGGGAAACCGGAGCUAAUACCGGAUAAUAUAUUGAACCGCAUGGUUCAAUAGUGAAAGACGGUUUUGCCGUCACUUAUAGAUGGAUCCGCGCCGCAUUAGCUAGUUGGUAAGGUAACGGCUUACCAAGGCAACGAUGCGUAGCCGACCUGAGAGGGUGAUCGGCCACACUGGAACUGAGACACGGUCCAGACUCCUACGGGAGGCAGCAGUAGGGAAUCUUCCGCAAUGGGCGAAAGCCUGACGGAGCAACGCCGCGUGAGUGAUGAAGGUCUUCGGAUCGUAAAACUCUGUUAUUAGGGAAGAACAAAUGUGUAAGUAACUAUGCACGUCUUGACGGUACCUAAUCAGAAAGCCACGGCUAACUACGUG